CAUUGAAAUGACGUCAAUCAAAGUUGACGUAUGUAAAAAUGAAUUAAAAGAAAUUGUCAUCGUCAUUGCUGUGGACAAAAAAGGCAGAUGGAAAGAUUAAAUAGUGGGAGACACCUUGAAAGUUGGUGUUAGAGAGUAUAAAAAAAGGACAGAAGAUCAAGGAGCUAUUCUAUGUUCGAGAGAUGGACACAUACGGUUGGAACUAGAAAGCAUCUUCCUUCUCUUGUUCCUAUGGUAUCAUAUUGGAGGAAAACGUGUAAGUGCGUCUGAUGGCAGACUGCCACUUAAACCUAACCUAAGCUUUCCGGGAAACAAACUUAACCUUCCCUAGGCAAACAAAGAAUAAUGAAUAAGGACGGAGGAGGAGCUAUAUCAAGUUAUAGUCUGAUUCGGGGCUCAAGAAGCAAAAUGGGGAGAUCGGUUUAUAUGGGAGCUGUAUCAAGCUAUAUAUCGAUUCUGACCAUAUUGCCUGCCCAUGGGAUUGAUUUACAACGGUGGUUAACCCCUUCUAAUGCUGCCAACAUUUGUGAGGUACUAUGCCAUUUAAAAACGUCUCCCCAAAGAGGUGUCGCACUGUGGCAUGCCGUUUGGACUCGGUUAUAAAAAGGAUACCUCUUAUCAUUGAGCUUAAACAUUAAUCGAACUGCAGUCAUUGAUAUGGAAUAUUCAUGGACCAUACAUGGGAAGCUAUACAAUUCAAAAAAAAAGAAAAUCCAUAAUGUGAAACUUAAGCAAUGAUAAUGAGAAUAAAUCGAUAGCACGGUCCAUACAAUUAAAUGUUUAAAGAUUAUUUCAUGCAAAUGUUGACCGUGAUUGCGCCUCCAAUGGUCCAUUAGCUUAGUUAAAUUUUUGUCUACUCCUUCCAACAUUUCAGCCGGUAUCACGAAGAAAUGCUUCAAUGUUGUCGUCCAAUGCGUCAAUUAAAGCGGGCUUGUCUGCAAAGACAUGAGUUUUUUUCAUAGCCCCACGAAAAAUAGUACAAAUCUUUAAUUUGAGCACAAAAUAAACAUUUAUAUGACACUUAUUUUUAACUAAACACAAGUUACACCUAAAACCACUGCUUUGGUAGUAAAGCGUUGCAGCGUUUGUCUUGAAAGGUGAUAGGUGGUAUGGGAUAGCUGUAAGCACUACACAGACGAGAACAUAGAGGUCCAUUUUGUGGGAGAGCACGUACACUGAGCGACAACCCUUACCGAUGAAGAUUCCAUCGGUUCAAUCCAGUGCGUACAACCGGCUGCCGUGGGAUUGAUGGUAUCGAUAUGCUCCUAGGCCAUAGUGGAUUAAAGGGGAGUGAGGAUACACCCAGAAAAAGUUUAUACCAAAUUUGCUCAUUUCAGUACCAUACGUUAUUGAUAGUAAGCAACACCGUAUGGUAAACAAGUAAAAGCGUGCUAAGUUCGGCCGGGCCGAAUCUUAUAUACCCUCCACCAUGGAUCGCAUUUGUCGAGAUCAUUUCCCGGCAUCUCUUCUUAGGCAAAAAAGGAUAUAAGAAAAGAGUUGCUCUGCUAUUAAAACGAUAUCAAGAUAUGGUCCGGUUCGGACCACAAUUAAAUUAUAUGUUGGAGACCUGUGUAAAAUUUCAGCCAAU